GAUGAACGCUGGCGGCGUGCCUAAUACAUGCAAGUCGAGCGAACAGACGAGGAGCUUGCUCCUCUGACGUUAGCGGCGGACGGGUGAGUAACACGUGGAUAACCUACCUAUAAGACUGGGAUAACUUCGGGAAACCGGAGCUAAUACCGGAUAAUAUAUUGAACCGCAUGGUUCAAUAGUGAAAGACGGUUUUGCUGUCACUUAUAGAUGGAUCCCCGCCGCAUUAGCUGGUUGGUAAGGUAACGGCUUACCAAGGCAACGAUGCGUAGCCGACCUGCGAGGGUGAUCGGCCACACUGGAACUGGGACACGGUCCAGACUCCUACGGGAGGCAGCAGUAGGGAACCUUACGCAAUGGGCGAAAGCCUGACGGAGCAACGCCGCGUGAGUGAUGAAGGUCUUCGGAUCGUAAAGCUCUGUUAUUAGGGAAGAACAAAUGUGUAAGUAACUAUGCACGUCUUGACGGUACCUAAUCAGAAAGCCACGGCUAACUACGUG
rnacentral:rRNA from 1 species